UACGGAGGAUCCAAGCGUUAUCCGGAAUCAUUGGGUUUAAAGGGUCCGUAGGCGGUUUGGUAAGUCAGUGGUGAAAGCCCAUCGCUCAACGGUGGAACGGCCAUUGAUACUGCUAAACUUGAAUAUUAGGAAGUAACUAGAAUAUGUAGUGUAGCGGUGAAAUGCUUAGAGAUUACAUGGAAUACCAAUUGCGAAGGCAGGUUACUACUAAUGGAUUGACGCUGAUGGACGAAAGCGUGGGUAGCGAACAGG
rnacentral:rRNA from 1 species